AGAGGCAUAGUUUAAGGGGUAGAGCAUCUGCUUAGCAAGCACAAAACCUUGAGUUCGAAUCCCAGUGUCACCA
rnacentral:tRNA from 1 species